GUUAAUUCUUUUAUAUAAAAAAACAAGUUUUUUUUUGUUUUCCUCUUCCUCUUCUCUCGCUCUCGCGAUAUUCUCAACCCUGACAAUCGAAGCUUUUGCUUAACCGAACUCUAAUCGGAGAUUUUGAUUAAUCAAUCUCCAAUUGGAGCUUUUGAUUCACCAAAUUGAAGCGCUACAUUCACCAACCGGCAGAUUUUGAUGAACCAAUCUCGAUUAUACAAAUCUUUCAACAUCAGCAAAAUUACAAGCAGAAGAGCAUGUCCUGCAAUGGGCCAUGACUAGCUGGACAAGAAGCUGCUGCAGUACAUUCAUGGUUUAGCUGCUAAAGGAGUUCAUUUUAUUCAUCGCCCAGGACCAACGCUUCAGGAUCUUGGGUUCUUUCUUCUUCCGGUAUACUGUGAAUUUGGUGGUGUUCUGUAUAGACAAGAAGUUACCAGAGUUACCAGAUCAGACAGCUGUGUUGCUCCCAGUAAUCACAAAAGACAGAACCAAAGAAGAGAACCACAAGCUGUUCAAUGAGAACGGUGUUAAUCCUGCUGAUUGGGUAACCAUCUGAUUUAGUGGUGCAAAAUUUUAAAAAUAAGAACCCCAAUUACAGCUUCACUAUUGGAGGAGCAAAAUUUUAAUUACUCUUUUAGGA